AAUCGGAUUGCUACAGUUGAAGAGGACUUUCAGAAAAUGAUGGAGCUUAAAGCUCGUGCAGAGGUUGCUGAUAUCGCAAAGUCACAAUUCCUAGCCACUGUUUCUCAUGAGAUAUGUACUCCAAUGGUUGGUGUUCUAGGGAUGCUGAAGUUGCUGAUGGACACUGAUCUUGACGCUAAACAAAUGGACUCUUCUGAAACCGCUCACGGCAGUGGAAAAGGUCU